GCAAUUUGGAGGAAUGUAUAGUUUCGGCUAAUUAUACUUGGCUGUCUAAUUUAUUAUAUAUAAUUUAUAUUAUACUUAAUAGGUUAUUCAAUUUAGCCUGGGAUUUAAUUGCCUAGGUUAAUUAAUUUGCUAAAAAAAUAAGGGUAUACUUUAUUUAUAAGACUGGUAUAAGAUUGAUUUUAUCGAUUAAAGUUCUAGAUAUGAUAUUGAUUAUGACAAUUCAUGUCUAUAUGUCUUGGCCAAAAUACGUGCCAGCAGUCGCGGCAAGACGUAGAAGACUAGUGUUAUUCAUCUUUAAUAGGUUUAAAGGGUACCUAGACGGUAUAAUUAGUCUUAAAUAGGAAACGGUUAUACUAGAGUUAUAUAUGAGGAGGUGAGUAUUUAUGGAGUAGAGUUGAAAUUCUGUCAUACCAUAACGACUGGUAGCGGCGAAAGCAACCUUUUAUCUAAUAACUGACGUUGAGGGACGAAGGCUCGGGUAACGAACAGGAUUAGAUACCCCAGUAGUCCAAGCAGAGAAUUAUGAAUGCCAUAGAUUAGAAACAUUUUUAGUCUAUAAAUGAAAGUGUAAGCAUUUCACCUCAAGAGUAAUGUGGCAACGCAGGAACUGAAAUCAUUAGACCGUUUCUGAAACCAGUAGUGAAGUAUGUUAUUUAAUUCGUAGUUACGCGAAAAACCUUACCACAAUUUGAAUAUUAUUUAUUUAAUACAAUAAUGGUUAAACUCAUUUUUUGUAUUAGUAGAACUAUAUUUAUAGUUAUAAAUAUUACAAGCGUUGCACGGCUGUCUGCAGUUAAUGUCGUGAGAUAUUGGUUAAUUCCAUUAAAUUAACGGAAACCCUUGCUUUAUUUGUAUUAAAAUGUAAUAAAGCAGUACACCUUCAUAACGUUUAUGUAACAGG
rnacentral:rRNA from 1 species